rnacentral:lncRNA from 1 species
AUCGAAAAUAUUAAUAAAUAAGCUUUGCUUCAUUUCAACAUAUUGUGUUAAAUACACCAAAACCUUCUUCCGAAAGUUCUUUGAAUUUUUUCUUUUGUUGAAACCUGUAUUGUUGAAGCUUUGUGAGUGAAGCGUGUAGUUUGAGGUAGUGUUCCCUUAAUUUCCCGAGUGAGGAAAACUUCUCGGUUGGAGACUUGAAAAAUCCAAGUCACUGAGUGGUUGUGAGACUGCCGAGUAUCAAGGUGCAGUAGCAUAUGGUGGGAGUCCCCCAAGUCUUCAGGCGAAGAGAGUUGCCGAAUGAGGUGUCUCGCUUGUUACUAAUUUGUCAAAGUAACGCAUCCUUGUUACUAAUUUGCUGACUGCUGAGACUUCCCCUAAGCAACCUUUGUGAAGGCUCCCUCUUGUUUGUUUAUUUUUAUUCAUGUAUAUGUACAUAUUUGUAACUUAUCGAAAAUAUUAAUAAAUAAGCUUUGCUUCAUUUCAACAUAUUGUGUUAAAUACACCAAAGCCUUCUUCAGAAAGUUCUUUGAAUUUUUUCUUUUGUUGAAACCUGUAUUGUUGAAGCUUUGUGAGUGAAGCGUAUAGUUUGAGGUAGUGUUCCCUUAAUUUCCCGAGUGAGGAAAACUUCUCGGUUGGAGACUUGAAAAAU